rnacentral:rRNA from 1 species
UACGUAGGGUGCAAGCGUUGUCCGGAAUUAUUGGGCGUAAAGAGCUCGUAGGCGGUCUGUCGCGUCGGCUGUGAAAACUCGGGGCUCAACUCCGAGCUUGCAGUCGAUACGGGCAGGCUAGCGUUCGGCAGGGGAGACUGGAAUUCCUGGUGUAGCGGUGAAAUGCGCAGAUAUCAGGAGGAACACCGGUGGCGAAGGCGGGUCUCUGGGCCGAUACUGACGCUGAGGAGCGAAAGCGUGGGGAGCGAACAGG